GACGAACGCUGGCGGCGCGCUUAACACAUGCAAGUCGAACAGAAAGGCCUGCUUUCCCUUGUGGAUUGCGGGUACUCGAGUGGCGAACGGGUGAGUAACACGUGAGUGAUCUGCCCCCAACUUGGGUAUAAGCCUGGGAAACUGGGUCUAAUUCUCGAUAGGACUGCAGGGUGGUGCCUGUGGUGGAAAACGAUCUUCUAGUGGUUGGGGAUGAGCUCGCGGCCUAUCAGCUUGUUGGUGGGGUAAUGGCCUACCAAGGCGGCGACGGGUAGCCGGCCUGAGAGGGUGGACAGCCACAUUGAGACUGGGAUACGGCCCAGACUCCUACGGGAGGCAGCAGUGGGGAAUAUUGGACAAUGGGCGGAAGCCUGCUGCAGCGACGCAGCGUGGAGGAUGACGGCCUUCGAGUUGUAAGCUCCUUUCGACCGCGAGGAAGCCACCUGGUUGGAAGGGUGGUGACGGUAGUGGUAGAAGAAGCACCGGCUAACUACGUG
rnacentral:rRNA from 1 species